CCCUUAGAUGUCCUGGGCCGCACGCGCGCUACACUGAUGCAUUCAACGAGCAUUUCCUUGGCCGAGAGGCCUGGGCAAUCUUUUAAACCUGCAUCGUGAUAGGGAUAGAUUAUUGCAAUUGUUAAUCUUGAACGAGGAAUUCCUAGUAAACGCAAAUCAUCAAUUUGCAUUGAUUACGUCCCUGCCCUUUGUACACACCGCCCGUCGCACCUACCGAUUGAAUGGUCCGGUGAAAUCUCGGGAUUGUGGCCAGUUCACUUUAUUGGGAGUUGGCUGCGAGAACUUGCUUAAACCUUAUCAUUUAGAGGAAGGUGAAGUCGUAACA
rnacentral:rRNA from 1 species